rnacentral:rRNA from 1 species
GAUGAACGCUGGCGGCGUGCCUAACACAUGCAAGUCGAACGAACAGACCAGGAGUUUGGUCGGCUGACGUUUGGGGAGGGGGGGUGGUGCACACGUGGAUAACCUACCUAAAAGAAUGGUAUGAUUAUGGGAAAGCGGCGCUUAGAGCGGAUGAUUUAUUGCACCGCGUGGGUCCAUAGUUGGAUAAGGUUUUUGUGGUAGGUAUUGAUGCAUCUGAGCUGCAUUCGCUAGUUGGUAAGGUAACGGGUUAUCAAGGAAACGAUGGGUAACCGAGCUGAGAGGGUGAUCGGCCACACUGGAACUGAGACACGGUCCAGACUCCUACGGGAGGCAGCAGUAGGGAAUCUUCCGCAAUGGGCGAAAGCUUGACGGAGCAACGCCGCGUGAGUGAUGAAGGUCUUCGGAUCGUAAAACUCUGUUAUUAGGGAAGAACAAAUGUGUAAGUAACUAUGCACGUCUUGACGGUACCUAAUCAGAAAGCCACGGCUAACUACGUG